CAACACUCUUGAGUCCUGCGCCUUGUGGAAUGAGGAAAAGGAGGAGCAGAUUAGAGAGGAAUGCAAUCCAUAUUUUUUUACACAUUGAGGCGGAGGCCGGCGCAUCAUUUGGCAAGAGAAAAUCGACUGCCUCUAGCAGCAAAUUUUGGCAGGCAUUUCUUUUAAUUGUUUAGUCCCAAAAUAUACCUGCUCAAGCAAUUGCUCAACACGUGGAUAAAUCCCAUUGACUGAAUUAAUCUACUCUAGUUAAUCCACGCAGUGGAGAAUUACCACCAAAGCAGGAAAAUUUCCAGGAGUCCUAUUUAGCUGCAUUCUUAUUCCAUCAACAUCUGGCUGUGCCAACUUUGAGUACAGUUUCUAUUAGUUUAGCAUUUGCAUCAUGCUGCAUCACCUUGACCAUCUUACUAAAACAGCCUACAAAGGGAAGCUUGGCUUGGGAGCUAGAAGGCAGCACUGGAGAGGACUGGGCGAGAUUCCUCGGAUCCCUAAAGACUUGAAUUUCUGUAUCCUUGCAAGCAACCGGAGGAGGGAGGGAAGGAACAAACAGUGGGUGCCUCAACUUCCUUCACACAACAUUUGAAAGGAAUGCAGUGGUGAGCUCAUGGGCCCCUCCACCCAGCCUCAGUUGGCGCUGGGUCUUAGCUUCCCUCUGGUAAAGAGUCAAAAAUUUAAAUUUAACGGCCCCAAAUGCACUUUCUUGUGAUGCCAAAAACCUCGGUUGUAAGGCCAAGCCUAUCCACCGUCUGCAACACAGAUAGUCUAUCCUAGGGAGCUGUUUGCAAGGCUGUGGAUGCCAGAAAUCGAUCACUUUGAGUAGCAGAUUUUGGCAGGCCUUUAUUAG
rnacentral:lncRNA from 11 species